AGCUGGCAAGCCAGCUGUGUUAGGUUUGACUGCAUUUCUCCAGCCAGCUGUCUUCCAUCCCCAUCGACUUGGCUAAUCCUGUGAUAUUUAGCUGAGAAGCUGUAAUGAUGCUGGGAGUGGUGGUAAACCACAGGCGAAUUGGGGCAGAUGGUGUUCCCAGGAUAGGAAGCUUCAGAAAGCAAAUUGUCUGACAAAACUGCCCUCUUGGAACAAAUUUGUGCAAAUACCUUGGGCACCGUGGUCAUAAAGAAAGCUAUGGAAACCGGCUGGGAGGGUUUAGCAGAUCCCAGCAUGGCACUACAGUUAAAAGUGUAAAUGGCUCCAGGGCUGGAAGAUGGUAUGUCUGCAGUGGUAUCCUGUGUUUCCUGUUCCCCAUGUCCUUGACUUGGCCUGGGGAAAACUGCCUACAAUAGUUAGACUUGGAGGAACCAGUUGACCUCUGGCCUUAUGAGCUACUAUGCCGCCUGUUAGUGUUACCUUAGGAGUUAGGGUCUGUGUCUGCAGUGAGGAUGGAUGGUUUCUGAAAACCAGUAAAGAGUAACUUUUCCAUACUCAA